CCGGGAGGGGUGUAUUUAUUAGAUAAAAAACCAAUGCCCUCCGGGGCUCCCUGGUGAUUCAUGAUAACUCAACGAAUCGCAUGGCCUUGCGCCGGCGAUGGUUCAUUCAAAUUUCUGCCCUAUCAACUUUCGAUGGUAGGAUAGUGGCCUACCAUGGUCGUAACGGGUAACGGGGAAUUAGGGUUCGAUUCCGGAGAGGGAGCCUGAGAAACGGCUACCACAUCCAAGGAAGGCAGCAGGCGCGCAAAUUACCCAAUCCCGACGCGGGGAGGUAGUGACAAUAAAUACUGAUACGGGGCUCUUUCGGGUCUCGUAAUUGGAAUGAGUACAAUCUAAAUCCCUUAACGAGGAACAAUUGGAGGGCAAGUCUGGUGCCAGCAGCCGCGGUAAUUCCAGCUCCAAUAGCGUAUAUUAAAGUUGUUGCGGUUAAAAAGCUCGUAGUUGAACCUUGGGCCUGGCCGAUCUGUCCUCCUCAUCGAGCGCACGGAUUCGGUCGGGCCUUUCCUUCUGGGGAGCCCCAUGCCCUUCGUUGGGCGUGGCGGGGAACCAGGACUUUUACCUUGAAAAAAUUAGAGUGUUCAAAGCAGGCCUUUGCUCGGAUACAUUAGCAUGGAAUAAUAGAAUAGGACAUCGGUUCUAUUUUGUUGGUUUCUAGGACCGCUGUAAUGAUUAAUAGGGAUGGUCGGGGGCGUCAGUAUUCAAUUGUCAGAGGUGAAAUUCUUGGAUUUAUUGAAGACUAACUACUGCGAAAGCAUUCGCCAAGGAUGUUUUCAUUAAUCAGUGAACGAAAGUUAGGGGAUCGAAGACGAUUUGUAUCCGGUCGUCCAGAGUGGGAACUAGUCUAGAUUGAACAAUCUGGGUGACACCAUUCAAUUGAAGAACUCCCGGCGCUCUGAUAAAGAGCCCGGGUGAUCUACAGCCACGUCCGGUUGGGGCCACGCUCAAUGUGUCGUGUUGACGGCGCUGAAGUCNUGCGAUGUCGAGUGUUUCAACCACCAGACCCAGUCUACAGACUGAACGAUGGUGGGUUGGCAAGAUGGAUGCUCAUCUUCAGCUUUUGAUAUAGUCGAGUCCGGUAUGGCAACAUGCCUGGGGAAAACGCAGAUACCGUCGUAGUCUU
rnacentral:rRNA from 1 species